rnacentral:rRNA from 1 species
GACGAACGCUGGCGGCGUGCUUAACACAUGCAAGUCGAACGGAAAGGCCCCUUUGGGGGUACUCGAGUGGCGAACGGGUGAGUAACACGUGAGUAACCUGCCCUUGACUUCGGGAUAACUUCAGGAAACUGGGGCUAAUACCGGAUAGGAAUCAUUGCUGCAUGGUGGGGGUUGGAAAGCUUCGGCGGUUUUGGAUGGACUCGCGGCUUAUCAGCUUGUUGGUGGGGUAGUGGCUUACCAAGGCUUUGACGGGUAGCCGGCCUGGGAGGGCGACCGGCCACAUUGGGACUGGGAUACGGCCCAGACUCCUACGGGAGGCAGCAGUGGGGAAUAUUGCACAAUGGGCGGAAGCCUGAUGCAGCAACGCCGCGUGCGGGAUGACGGCCUUCGGGUUGUAAACCGCUUUCAGCAGGGGCGAAGCUUGUGGUGACGGUACCUGCAGAAGAAGCACCGGCUAACUACGUG